GACCUCUGUUCUGGACUGGGAUAAAUCAGUCUCUGAACAUACUAGUUUAUAUACCCUAGCUACAUAUAGACAGCAAAACCAACUAGUUUAGAUCAGAUAAAUUUUUAGCAGGCCACUAUUGGAUAAAGUGAAUCCCUAGAUGAGCUGAUGGGGGCCUGGAUCAAGGAUUUAGUAACAUAUAGAUCCCUGACUUUUGUUCUCUUCAAAACAAGAAUUAAGAUACAUGUGUUGGAAGAAUAUUACUGAAGUCACCCAAAGUAAAAUGAAUGGAUAUGUUCCCAUUCCUGUGGAAAAUUUUGGAGAAUCUGCAAACACAAUCUGUCCUUUUGGAGCCAGUGACCCAAAUUUGUACCCAAGGUGCUACAAACAGACACUGCACGGAGAACACCCACACCCUGCAAAAUUUUAGUGUUUUCCUUGCUGGCUUGUAAUGACUGACUGUGUCUGUGAGUAUAGUCAUACAUUCUUAUCCCUACGUUGUGCUGACCUGCACUGCUGCUGAUCCUGGCUUAGCUGGCUAGAUUAGGUAUCUGCAUUUCCCUCCCUCACCUGCUGCAAUUAUAUCCACUGCCUAUCUGUACUCACCACAUCUUGCUCCCAAAAUGUCAGGGAGAAGGUGGAGUGGAGGAAGGGUGUUCAAGAAAGAGUGGAGGCUGGGGCUGAUCCUCCCUAGCAAACAUAGCUUUAAGCAAUUUGCUUUAGCAAAUCAAGGUCUUAGAGGUGGUACAAGGGGCAAUGGUUUUAUAGUGAUAGAUUUAAUGUGGACAUAAGGAAUUUUUUACAAUUACAGUAAUGAGACACUGGAACAGGUUGCCCAUAG